AAUUUUGAGGUUUAGUGAUUUCUAUUUAGAGACUGAUCAAAAGUUUUCUUUUGUUAUUUGUAGGAAGCAAGGAUGACGAGGUCAUCUGGUUCUCCUAUUGCAUCUACUUCUGAUCAAUUGAGUGGAAUUAUGAAAACUCUAGAGUCGAUGACACAAGUAAUGCAACAACAAGUCCGACAAGGCAGAAAUGAUGAAGUUGGGAAUUCAAACCAAACUGGGUUGGGAAUUGAA
rnacentral:lncRNA from 1 species